rnacentral:rRNA from 1 species
AUUGAACGCUGGCGGCAGGCCUAACACAUGCAAGUCGAACGAGUGGCGGACGGGUGAGUAAUGUCUGGGAAACUGCCCGAUGGAGGGGGAUAACUACUGGAAACGGUAGCUAAUACCGCAUACCAUCGGAUGUGCCCAUAUGGGAUGAGCUAGUAGGUGGGGUAACGGCUCACCUAGGCGACGAUCCCUAGCUGGUCUGAGAGGGUGACCGGCCACACUGGAACGGAGACACGGUCCAGAAUCCUACGGGAGGCAGCAGUGGGGAAGAUUGCGCAAUGGGCGCAAGCCUGAUCCAGCCAUGCCGCGUGUAUGAAGAAGGCCUUCGGGUUGUAAAGUACUUUCAGCGAGGAAGCGUUACUCGCAGAAGAAGCACCGGCUAACUCCGUGCCAGCAGCCGCGGUAAUAC